ensembl:lncRNA
GCUAUAACUGCCCGGAUGCGUUACCAAGAUGGCGGCUUAGUGGACUUCAGUUUUUGCAAAAUCAAAUGUAAUUGUUGUAUGAGCAUUAGUUAGUACAACGUGGAUACAAUAACAAGUUGGCAUGCCACGUUUGUGUGCUUUCUGCGGCUGUAAUAAUCGAGUGGGCUGUGGGCUUUCGUUUUUCGCAUUCCCAAAGGACAGUACAAGGAGGCGGAAAUGGCUUCUUAAUUUGAUGAGGGCAGACUUAUCCCCCGACAUGACGAGAGAAGAGUCCGACAGAGCUGGGUAUGUGGUCUGCGAACAACAUUUCAGGCCAAAGGACAUAAACUCAAAGGGUAGAAGAAAACGUCUGGCUCCUGAAGCCGUCCCCAUCCUUCUGCACACUAUAAAGGAGGAACAGAGAGAUUUGGAGAUGCCUUCUACUGAUGUUCAUGCUCCAGUGCCUCUGCAAGACACACCCCCAUAUGAACAGGUCGUGGCAAUGUUUAACAAGCUGCUGGCAGAGAAGGAUGAGAAAAUCAAGGAUCUGAAAAGCAUUCUGCAGAGAGAGAGGGCCAGAAUGCGGCUGAUGAAGUUCCGCAUGAACAGCAAAAUCAGAGAACUGAAAAGAAAACUCGAACAGCAGCAGAACAGUAGCAGUGACCAAGGCGAUCAGCUGACUGCUGCCUCCGACUGCCUUCCACAGGCAGCAAAGGAGUUUUUUGACAAGCAAAUAGCCAUGGCCAAGGUGAGGAAACACGGCCAGAGAUAUGACAAGAAACAAAAGGACAUGGCAAUCCAGCUGUACAAACAGAGCCCAAGCUGUUACUCUGAACUCCAAAAAAUGUUUCAGUUACCGUCUUCAACCACUCUGAGGAGGCACCAGGUGGUCAGUCAGGAAGCGAGUCCAAGUGAAGAGGAGGAUCGGGAGCCUUUGGGAUGGCCUGCCAGUCAGAAGGACACACCAGGUGACCCAGAGAGAGGUGAGGAGGUGAAACUUGCUGAUGUAGCUGGAUGGGUGGUGCAGAAAGUGGCUCAAGAUCCAGAAGUCAGUGCUUGUACCGAAUGUGAAAGUUUGCUUGUGGAGACCAAUGACACAGAGCACAACUAUCACACACGGAUGGAGAAGGAUGCCGUCUCAGCUGUGAAGAAAAGCCCAACCUCUGCCCGGCUGCUUCAUCCAUCCGAAGCUUUCAAAGAAUGCAUUUCGAAAUGUGACAGCGUCAUCCAAAAAAUCCCCCCAAAUGCAAUGGCCCCGAAGAAAUUAAAGGCCUACCUCAGAGCCAGCGGUGCUUUCAGUGAGCUCCACCGCAUCCAUCCUGCCCACUCAAAGGCCAUCGAGAGGGUCGCCGUGAAUAAAUAUGUGAUGUGCAGGGUGGUGGCCGAGCUGAAGGAAACAGCACAAAACAGAAAACGCACACAUGAGAAAAAAAGUGCUGCGUGUCAAGAGCUAAAUGUUAGCACCCUUGAAGUAAAUCAGGACUAAAUAAAUAUAAAAUGUUGUUAAUUUGAUAAUAAAUUAUUUUAGGCCAUUCUAACUUGUCUGUGUUGUUUCAAGCUUUCCUCCAUUUGACCUAGACGCAUUUAGUUUUUCAAUUUCAGUUCAAUUUUACAUAGUGCCGUGCCCAAAGGCACUUAUUGUAAGGUAAAGACGCUGCAAUAAUACAAAGAAACCCCCAACAAUCAGCUGUUUCAGUCUCCAUCACUGUAUUCUAGCUGUCCGGUGCGUGUACGUGGGUGUGCGAAGAAACUCUAGCCAGAGAAAACAUGAUAUAAAUGAUUUAAAUCAG